CCAGAUGGAAAAAACUCGAUUUUGAGGGGAACCCAGGAAGAAAAGCGGUAUCUUUCAGCAAAUCUAGAGCUGAACCUACGAUUUGCAGAGCCAGAUCUAGGGUUUCUGCAGAGGGGGAGGAGAGAGAGAGGAGGAGGAGGAGCAGAGAGAGAGAGAGGAGAGAGGAGAGAGAAAGAGAGAAUUGGGCUUGAACCCGAGCAAUCCAAUUGGACCGUUUCGGUGUGUUAAUCUUUGGGGUUGGUUAGGACUAAAGAAGUGAUAAGAUUCAAUGGGGGAGCGAUACCACAAUUAAAGUGUAUUGGAUAUGGACUUUGAGGUCCAUUUAUUGUUCUACUGUGUGAAAGUCAUGCGUGUGUAACUGUGUGUUCUCCUCCUGCAUACAGAACAAAGACUACUACACUAGUCUACCAAGUAACGUGCUCUAAUGGGAUUUGUGAAAAGAAUUUUGAUGUGCCUUUUCUGGGAUGGUUGGGCGGACCACAGCCCACCUUUAGGGGAUGGUUAGGUGGACUUUUUAGAGGGACAAAGGGGGAGGACGGGGUGCACAAGGUGCGGGGAGGGGUGGGUAUGGCGUACGUGUAGCCCACUGGAGUGCUCCGUGGACUCUAUUUCUAUGGUGGGGGCCUACACUUGGGGAAAGAAUCUUUUUUGGAAAUUUUGAAAUUAGCCCAAGGCAAAAUAUUUCAGAGUCCUGGUGAAGAUAUUGAGGAUCUGGACCAUAUAUGAUACUCCAUAUGGGAUCAUGGGAUGUGAUGCAUCCUCAUUUUUCACCGGGGAGAGUGGGUGGGAUUGUCAUUCCUUGUCUCUAUCUCAAUUCCAAGCACCAUCACUCUCUUUCUCACAACUACAAAGGCCUUUUUUUUUUGUGGCAGGAUCGGUUGGUUCAUACACUUGAGAGAUAGAAAAGAUUUUUCCAAGGUCUUUUGGCGUGUAUUAGGUGGGUUGCUGCUUGCUUGACCCCAAGCAAGUCUUCUCCAAUUUAAAAUCAAGGUUUUGAUGCUACUGAAGUGUAUACCAUAUGUUAUUAAUUAAAGACAUGUUAUUGUAAAGAGGGUUUUGAUGGAGUCCAAAAUUUUAGGCAUACAUUUUCUAAACAUCCACAAUAUUCUCAAUCAAUUUAAAGGAAAGGGGGAAAAAAAAAAAAGAAUUGCUGGCUGACAUAAAUGGUCGGCACCCAGCUUUGUUUGGACUGCAUUUUUCUGAAUUUUUUUGUAGAAAAAUUACUAUUGCGAUUUGAUAUUUAUGAGGUAAAAAGAUAAUUUGUCAUUCGAAAACGUAGCAAUUUUUCUUUGAAAAAUUACAAUCCAAACACACAGACUCUAAAGAACCGAUAACAAAAUAAGAUUCCAAGACCAGUACCCCUUUUUUCUCAUAACAUAAAGUUGUACAAAAAAAAAAGGAGAGAGAUUGGGGUAUGGCUGAAGUAAUAGACUCGUCAAGGCCUCGAGAGUGUGUGUGUCAAUCGUUCGAGUAAGAAAAGAAACGAUUUUUCUUGGUGUCGGUCCGUUCUGAGAGAUGUGGCUUUCAUAAAAUUCACAAAGCAUUUAAAUCAAAUCCGUGAAAUUAUUUGACCAUAAUCUGUAUGCCUUCCUCCUCAGCAGCAGCAGCAUCUGUUGCUCAUAACAGCUUUAAGCACAUCACUACUAAGGAUAAAUAUUUCAAGUUUGUGAAUCUUAUUCUUGACAGGAAAGUCUAUGAUGGAGAAAUAGUAGCAGCAGCGUAUGAUUUUGGAUCACCCAACCAACUCUAAGGACAUUAUUAAUAUUGGUGGCAGCCGAUGGUAUUGGUGUCCUCGGACUAGAAGAAGCAGCGGUCAUAUAUAUAAUGUAUGGUCCCUCCCUUUAGCAAAAAAGACUUUGGGCUAAUAAGGCUUUUGAGUUUUGAACGAACAAACAGACAAACAAACAAUUCGGCCAACAUUUAACCCGUAACGCUGAUGUUCCUUCAUGGAUCACUUAACAUUUCUUUUUCUCUCUUCUUUUUUUUUUUUUUUUAAAUCGUAAUAAUGAGCUGGGGAUAUAGUGACUUAACAGACCCCAUUACGUAAUGAAAAAAAGAUCUCAAUAAUUCUUCAGCCCAAUGACUCAAAAGUUAGCCACAGCCACUACUCUUCUUUCAAGACAUUGACGGAAAGGAAAGGAAAGGGUUACUUUCAAGGCGUACCGCUAGUCUAUGAAUAAUGUCAUCAGUUUAUUAUGCUUCCCAAUAAAUAUGGAUCGGUCAUGACCAUGCAGGCCAUUAGAAAUAUGAGCAUUUCCUCCAAUGGAGAAGCAUCAUCAAUCAGUAGUAAUUCACUUGAAACAAGAAUUAUUUUUUUUUUCAAAAGAUCAUGAAAAGAAAAAAUCUAAGCUUUGAGCUGAUUGCACAUUUUUGGACAAAGUUGAUGGACAGUUGAUAAAGAACAUUAAUUCUUAGUAUGGUAAAACAGUACUAUAUAUUCCAUGAAUUGAACAUUUGCGCUAGUGAUAGGACUACAACUGAAGCAAUUCUAAGCUUAAUGAACAGAAGAUUUUGUUUGCAUGAAAUCGUUUUGUACCAAAAAAUGAAAGAAAAAAAAGAAAUCAUUUGCACAACAAUCAACCACCAAAAAAUGAUAUUCUCUGUUGUCUACACCACAUAAUUUUUUGUUUAUUGCGCACACUUUCAAUAAUCUUUUGUUGUCUACGAAUGUCAUUCUCCUAUGCUUAAUAAAAUCAUUUCAUUUCCAACCCAAAGGAAAAAAAAAAAGACAGGAAAAUUGAGCUUCAGACUUUCUUGUUUCCUCCCAACUCCCAAACUAUUUUCCUCGGGGACCUCAUAUCGACAUGCCCACUAGUUGACACCUCGCGGCUUUCUUUUAAAUUCUUCAUUAUGCAACAAAAGGAAAACUACAACCUACAUUCUAUAAUGUGUACGUGGUUCUUUUAAGAUACUCCUGCCCUUUAUUACUCAAAAGCGGACAAAUUGAAUGCAGGAAAACUACAAGGGCAGUUAAUUGAAAUGCAAUGAUGUUCACGAUUGUUCACUUCCUAACAACAGGAAAAUUUUUUUUUUAAAAAAAAGAUACAAAUUGAAAAGGGGAGAAUAGGUCGAAGCAAAGAAAAGUGCGGCUCUUAAAAAAGCGAAGCAAGAGAUGGUUGAACAGAGUGUCCAGAGUCCUGACUGGGGAUGGGAAAGACAAAGUCGUGGGUUAAAUCAAAACGACAGUGUGGUCUUUUAAAUCGUUGUCUCGGGCAUUAUGUCUUUGUAGCAUAUAUGCACACAAGAAUUCCUUGAUAUGCUGACAAAAGAGUGCAUGGUUCUCCAUGCAAUUGUCCCCAAAAGGUACACGUACUUACCUGCAAUCCCCUACACCACCAUUAUUGUCUUCCCCGCAAAUUAUCUUGGAUUCUUGCUCUAUUCCAACGUACGAAUCCCUUCCUUCCUUGGGCCUGCUUCAGUAGUUUGAAGUACUCUCAUUCAGGAUCCAAUUCAACACAGAGCUUUGAAAUUUUUUAUUACAUUAUUAUUUAGGUUUUUGUCAAGAAUUGCUACGCUCCGAAAUCAACCACGUCUAAAACAUAAGAAGGGUUUUUUUUGGUUAAACAAACCAACAAGUUAAACGCCUUCGAAACUCGCAUGACAUUUUGUCUAAGAUGAGGCUUGACUUUCGGCAUAUAGAUCCGAGCUAUGAUAAUGCCAAAGUAAAUUCUGCUGCUGCCUCGCCUCCUCAUUAACGAGUAUAAUUUACCGAGGUUGACUUUUUAAAGACUGGCCUCCAAAUAAAUGUAUAGAUGUCGACUAAACCAGAUGCCAAAUUAAAAUGAUCUAAUCUCGACUCUGACGUUCAAAAUUUCAGACUCUGGCAUCUUUGAUCUGCUAUGGGAUAAAUGUGGCAUGCGUUAGGUUCAUUAUUACGUUGACUUCCAAUCGUUUGUCACAAACAAGAGCAAGACUCUUUUUUUCAUCUUAUCUUUUCUGCAUAGGAAAUUCUAACUAUUAAGUCUACGCUUGGAUUGCUUGUUUCCGUCGGAAAAUAUUAUCGUUUUCCGUGAUCACAUUUCCCUAUCAUUUUUUUCCCUCACAUAAAUCAAAUCGCUACAGUAAUUUUUCUAUGAAAAAUGACGGAAAAUGCAAUCCAAACAUACUGCUCUGAAAGUAAUGGAGAGGCACUUAAUAGUUCAUGUACCUUUGCCAGUGAUGGAGAGGGACUUAAUCUAUAAUUAUAUAUUGCUCUGAAAGUAAUAUACAUACUCCCAAUUACUUGUUAAGUAAUCCUUCACUUGUCAUUUCCCAAUUGUAGAAAAAUACACUCGUCUCCGUUUUACAGAUGCCCGGCCUACUGUUUCUUCCCCUUCCCUUCUUUUACCAUUGGCUAAAAUAAAUAUGCCGUUUCCAGAAAUUUUUUUGUAAAAUAAUCCAGACUAUAGAUUGGUUGGAUUGAGGUGGAUAUGUUCUCCUGGCUGGAACACAGUUGCCGUCCUUCAUCAUGUACGGUUUUAUUAAUUAAAGGGAAAAAAAUUAAAGGAAAGAAAAAAAAAAAAAAGGGGUCAGUGUCCAUGCACCUUUGCUUCGGUGGCGUUAUUGUUCCCUUGCUGCAGUCACAACAUUAUUAAUUUUUUGUAACGGUCUUUCUUGUUCUGACUCACCGGCAGAGCCUCGCUGUGUUUACAAUUACAGCCGCCCCUCUUCAACUUUUCAAGCAUUAUUAAUAUUAUUGAAAGGGUUUUUUUUUAAAAAAAAAAAGAAAGAAAGAAAAGUUUAGCUUUUCCAAAACGUCCGUCAAUUGCACACUUUUAAAUAUAAAAAAAAAAAAAAAUGGUCUCUCUUCCCCACCAUUGUCUCCCUAAAUAUUUCUGUAAGAUGGAACCCUAUAGCAAAAAGGUCUAAGAUCUCCAACCGAAGAAUUUUAGAGCUACAAAAACUGGCAAUGUACAAGAACCCUAUUGCCUUAUUUUAUUAUUUGAUGUCCAGUUUCCUUAAUUUAUGAGCAUUUUACUAGCUAGUUACCUCUCAGUUGUGUUCUAGAAAUAUAUUUGCUUUCGCUAAUUAUACAUUACUAGUAGUACUUCACAAGUUAUAUUUUGAUUUGGAUAAGAAUGAUCAGUGUAUUACAUUACAUAUCAAGGAUUCUUCUAUUUUUCAGCUCAGAUUUAGUGUUGCUUUGCCUGCAAAAAUCUAAAAGCUUCUUCACUUUGAAAGUGCUGGCAAUUCAGAAGUGAUUAAUGGUGAUAAAUUUAAUAGAAAUGGUAGUACUUGCUAAAAUUAAUGAUGAAAUCAAACGACAAAAAAGCAUAUUUACAGCCUAAUGAAAAGCAGGUGAAUUUCACUACACUAAUCAACUAAAUUAAGAAGUGAUUGCCAGCUAACUUAAACUAGAAGAACCCACUAACUUCCAUGAACAAGGCUGUAUUGGAUUAUAGAAUACUACUAGAAAGUCUUUAUCUCCCUCUCUGUCGCUGUCUCUGUCCCAGCCUCACACGCACAACACACACUACUCAUACCCACACGAACACAAUACCCAUUUCUUAACACCAUCAGCGUGCUGCUGUACAAUUAUAAAAUGAACCCACGAACACAAAAGAAGAAGAAGAAGAUGAUGAAUAAGAGAAAAAAAAAAAAAAAAAAAAGGCGUAGGGGGUGUGGGUUUUGGAGGGAGGAGCACUUGAGGUGGAGGUGGAUCUCGUACAGAUACAAGCAUCAGCGUCCAUACCCGACAGCGAGACCUUCGUCCGGGAAAAACGGGGUGCAUGUCAUUUUUUACACACGUUCCCACAGUGGGUCCAUUUAUCGAAACACUCAUACAAAAAACUGUGAGUUAUGAAAGGGGUUCCCACAGUGGGUCACCCUCACAUGCCGCCAUGUGAGACCAUUGCAUCCUUUCUUUCGUUAUCCCCCGCAAACCCCAUUUCCUUAAUCCCCCAUUCCCCCUCUAAUUAAACAAUUUUAGGCCUCCCCCUAACGUGUUUCUGUUAUAAGCAUUGCUUUUUCCCACUUUCAUCUCAUGGAAGUUGUGUUGCACUCUCGCAUUCCAGAUUCAGUAAUUCAUGUUUGCCAAUGCAACAUGCCUGUAAUCCUUCUGAAUUUUAUGUGCGGUAGAGUGUUGGGUUCCAUGAAUCACCAACUGUAUUUUAUAAUCCAGAUUCAGUGGUAAUUGAAUAAGUAAAUGAAUAAAAUUGGCUUUAAGUUUCACUACCUUUUAGAAAGGUUCUAGGGCUGAGGUUGAGAUCCCAAGAGUUAGGGGUCAUGGAUUCCAAUACUCCUCCUCCUUUCUUAAAUCCUACCAUUCUUUUGCUAAAAAGAAACUCUACAAAAAAAAAAAAAAAAAAAAGUGGUCUGUGAGUAUUUGUUAAGAUGAAGUUUUAAGUGUUAAUAUUUUAAAAAUGUAAAAUUUAAUAGAGAAUGUAUAUAAUUAUAAAGAUGUGAUGUAGGCUAUCAAAAACAGUGCCUACCAAUUGGAAAAAAAUCCUUUUGAAAAUGCAAAAUUGAAGAAUCACAAGGGAAAUCAAUUUGUUUUUGGUGUUGACUCUAUGAUUACAGAGACAAAGUAGGGUGCAUUUGAUAAAAUUAAAGUCUGAAGUUUGAAAUAUGAAAUAUGAAAAUUAAAAUCUUAAUAUAUUAAGUUAUUGAAUUGUUAAAUAUUAAAUCUAAUGUAAUUGAGUGCAUAUCACAUUCAAAAAUAAGUGAAUAGUCUAUUACUUAAUUUUGAGAGCAAGUUUUGCUUAGAAAAUUCAGUGCCACUUAAUUAAUUUAGAUGUUCAAUUUUUUGUUAUCAAACGGUUUGAAUAUGUUAGAUCUGAAUCUAUUAAAUUUAAAUGUUAAUUUGGGUUAUUAAACGGGUCUAAGUGAUAGGUUAUUCAUGUAUCCAUUCAAAUAUAUUAUAUUUAAUAUUUAACAGUUUAAUAACUUAAUGAAUUCAGACACCCUUAAUUUCUUAAGCACGUAACGAAGCUUAUAUUGAAUCGCAAAGACAGAAAAAAUGGCAACAACCUGAUCGAGGGAACUGUAAACCAUUAAUACGGUAACGAAGGAUAAUAGAUUUUUCACUUCACAGGUUGUUCAUUAUUAGUUAAGGUAGAGUCGGCUUCAUUGGCGAUCAAUUCGAAACAGAAUCAUCAAUUUCUUUUUUGCCUUUUUGAAGUAUGACGCAUGAAAAGGUACACGAGCGUAGAGGAACAGUGCAGAAAAUAGCUAAAUUGAUUUGAUUUAUCACUAUUUCAGAUUACAAUAUAUCAACCAACGCGUCUUCGGGCAAAUAAAUCCACUUUUCUCCAUUCUUGUGCCAUGUUCAUAAGUGACGGUACAUAAAAUUGCCUAGGAUUCCUAACUGGCCACAAGUCACAGCCAUAUGCCCUUUGUUUUUUUAAGAAAUACCUUGCUUGUUUGGAUUGUCAUUUUCUGCCAAAAAAUUGCGUGAUUUUUUGUGAUCAUAUUUUUUUAUUAUCUUUUUUUCUCAUAUACAUCAAAUUCCUACAGUAAUUUUUUCAUGAAAAAUCAUGGAAAAUGCAAUCCAAACGGGGCCUAAGGAGAGGAAAAAAAUCUUAUUAAAAAAUUUUAGGAGAGAGAAAAUUCAUUACAUAAAUAAAAAGAAAAAAAACAUAGGAAAGACACCAUAUAUAGAAAUUUAUAAGAAUUUUAUGCCCUUUCAUGUAAUGUGAAUGAGCAGUUACCUCUCAAAAUCGAAAUCAUUGUUCUUAUGCUAUAUUGUACCUUUACAAUCAUACGGGUUUUGCAAUCUUGACUUUAAACUUCAAAAAAAAAAAAAAAAAAAGAGUUCCUACAUAUUGUAUCCUUGAAUUCCCAUCAACAGUGAAUUUUACUAUACCUUUCGGCAAAAUAAGCAAGGUUAUCGCAACCAAUGAUUAGCAAAUUUCUUGUAAAUAUUUUCAUCUCUACAUUUGAUCUCUUGUGGAUAAACAUAAGCAAUGCGCUACAAAUCCUGGACAUGUAUAUGAUUGAAUCAUUAAAUCACGGUGAUUUUGGAAAGAUUUUUCGACAAAUCAGUUGACACUUUAGGAUCAAAAUACAGUUUUUCUAUGUAUACCCUGAGUUGUUUUGAUUUGGUUCACAUGAAUCCCUCCACGCAUGAUCACUACGUCUAGUUAUCUAGAGUUCACGGAACUUAAUUGCCCUUAAAGCUUGCUCUAACAACUAACAAAAUUACAAUCACAAUUUUCAUGUGAUGAACUAGUUUGAAAAGUAGAUAUGCCAUGCACCUAAUCACGGAUCUUUUUUAGAAAUAAAAUUUCUUUGAACAUCAUAUUUUAACAUCUAAAGGCUUGUGCUUUGUGGCAUUAAACUUGACGGUGUAAUGUUAGAAAUAAAAAUUAUAAGAAUUUUUCUGAUGGUUACUAUAGAGAAAGAAACCCUCUACGAACACCUGUCAGGGCUGAAGUGUCUUGCUUGGACCUUUCUCGAACAGAAGCAGAGCAACAAGCAUCUUAGUCUAGGGUUCUCGGGGUAAGGCCAAAGCUUGAACUCAAGGAGAACUCUACUUCUAAUAACCUAACGAGACUCGUACUCU
rnacentral:lncRNA from 1 species